rnacentral:lncRNA from 1 species
GAAAGUUUAUGCUAUGAAUCUUUAGACUCAUGAUUUCCAGGUAGAUUUUAACUUGGCAGAAGCUUAUUUAGUGUCAAAAAUGGCUGCGACGAAAUGUCAACGCCCAGCCUGACCUCGAGCCAUAAUAAUCAAAGGUACUGGUUUUAUUUCUCACUUUCCACCCUUGAAUAGUAAAUUAUUCACUUUUAAACGUACCCUUUUCUCACCUUUUCUUGGCACUUCCAUUUCUGCAGCUAUUUCUUUGUGGUAAAUCUUAAUCUCAUCGGAAAUUUUGACACUUGGUAGAAGCUUAAGGAAGGUUAAGUUCGGUUACACAAAAGAAAUGUUGGAAAAUUUCAGUUGAACAGAAAUUUCUUUUUCUUGCUCUAUCUAUCACAGGCUGAUUUGCUUGCUAAUGUUCUUGCCAUACCAAAUUUUCAGUAAUUUUUUAGCAUUCCACAAAGCCGUUGAUAGGUUCUAAUGAUAUGCUAUUUGUUUCAUUAGUAUGACGACAAAAUUGGCCCGAUAAUAACAAUCACAAGUCCGUAAUGAAUUGACGAAGAUAGAAGUUCAGGGACCACUUUGAAUCUUUUCCUGCAUAGCAGAAAAGUCUUGUCUCAAAUUGCAGAGAUUUAGUCUCUGAGUUGGCUCAAACCUGCAUUGGAUGUUCGUUCCCAAGAAGUUAAAGAGUAUAUUUCUCUCAAGUGUGUAUUGUAAACUCGAUUAAGUAUAUAAAAUUGUUUGUAUGCACACCAAGCUGAAAAAUAUAUACUUUCAACUGCGAACAAA